rnacentral:rRNA from 1 species
CCUACGGGGGGCAGCAGUAGGGAAUCUUUCACAAUGGGCGAAAGCCUGAUGGAGCAACGCCGCGUGCAGGAUGACGGCCUUCGGGUUGUAAACUGCUUUUAUAAGCGAGAAAUAUGAUGGUAACUUAUGAAUAAGGAUCGGCUAACUACGUGCCAGCAGCCGCGGUCAUACGUAGGAUCCGAGCAUUAUCCGGAGUGACUGGGUGUAAAGAGUUGCGUAGGUGGCAUAAUAAGUAGCUAGUGAAAUCUGGUGGCUCAACCAUUCAGACUAUUAGCUAAACUGUUAAGCUCGAGACCGUUAGGGGUAACUGGAAUUGCUAGUGUAGGAGUGAAAUCCGUAGAUAUUAGAAGGAACACCAGUAGCGUAGGCAGGUUGCUGGGACGGUUCUGACACUAAGGCACGAAAGCGUAGGGAGCAAACGGGAUUAGAUACCCCUGUAGUC